CACGGCCUAUCAGCUUGUUGGUGGGGUAACGGCCUACCAAGGCAGCGACGGGUAGCUGGUUUGAGAGAACGAUCAGCCACACUGGGACUGAGACACGGCCCAGACUCCUACGGGAGGCAGCAGUAGGGAAUCUUGCGCAAUGGGCGAAAGCCUGACGCAGCAACGCCGCGUGCGGGAUGACGGCCUUCGUGGUUGUAAACCGCUUUCAGCAGGGACGAAAAUGACGGUACCUGCAGAAGAAGCCCCGGCUAACUACGUGCCAGCAGCCGCGGUAAUACGUAGGGGGCGAGCGUUGUCCGGAAUCAUUGGGCGUAAAGAGCUCGUAGGCGGUUCAGUAAGUCGGGUGUGAAAGCUCCGAGCUCAACUCGGAGAGGCCACCCGAUACUGCUGUGACUAGAAUCCAGUAGGGGAGCGUGGAACUCCUGGUGUAGCGGUGAAAUGCGCAGAUAUCAGGAAGAACACCAGCAGCGAAGGCGGCGCUCUGGGCUGGAAUUGACGCUGAGGAGCGAAAGUGUGGGUAGCAAACAGGAUUAGAUACCCUGGUAGUCCACACCGUAAACGUUGGGCACUAGGUGUGGGGAGGAAUCAACCCUCUCUGUGCCGUAGCUAACGCAUUAAGUGCCCCGCCUGGGGAGUACGG
rnacentral:rRNA from 1 species